rnacentral:rRNA from 1 species
UACGAAGGGGGGCUAGCGUUGCUCGGAAUGACUGGGCGUAAAGGGCGCGUAGGCGGAGUGCUUUGUCGGGCGUGAAAUUCCAGGGCUCAACCUUGGGGCUGCGUUCGAGACGGGCAUUCUAGAGUGGAGAAGAGGGUCGUGGAAUUCCCAGUGUAGAGGUGAAAUUCGUAGAUAUUGGGAAGAACACCGGUGGCGAAGGCGGCGACCUGGUCUUUUACUGACGCUGAGGCGCGAAAGCGUGGGGAGCAAACAGG